UUUAUGGAGAGUUUGAUCCUGGCUCAGGAUGAACGCUGGCGGCGUGCCUAAUACAUGCAAGUCGAGCGAACAGACGAGGAGCUUGCUCCUUUGACGUUAGCGGCGGACGGGUGAGUAACACGUAGGUAACCUACCUAUAAGACUGGGAUAACUUCGGGAAACCGGAGCUAAUACCGGAUAAUAUUUCGAACCGCAUGGUUCGAUAGUGAAAGAUGGCUUUGCUAUCACUUAUAGAUGGACCUGCGCCGUAUUAGCUAGUUGGUAAGGUAACGGCUUACCAAGGCAACGAUACGUAGCCGACCUGAGAGGGUGAUCGGCCACACUGGAACUGAGACACGGUCCAGACUCCUACGGGAGGCAGCAGUAGGGAAUCUUCCGCAAUGGGCGAAAGCCUGACGGAGCAACGCCGCGUGAGUGAUGAAGGUCUUCGGAUCGUAAAACUCUGUUAUUAGGGAAGAACAAACGU
rnacentral:rRNA from 1 species